UCAGUAAAAAUUGACUUCGAUGUGCUGACAUUUCUCCAUUACAAAUAAAGAAAAAAUGUGACUGAAACUCUUGCGUAAGCCUUGCGCGCGACUACGCUGUCGAAGUACGUGUGUCGCGUAGGGUUGCGAGCUGAAGAUGUGCAUCGCCAUUAGUACGUGCGGCGGCGAAACUGCAUCAAGUAUCUGAUGCGUGUCCCGGUUUGUUUAUCGGGGCGCAACUGUCAGUGCCGGUUUGGAAGUGACACUCAACAUCGAAUGUGAUCAGCUAUUUACCGCACGCUUUCUAAGGUUUCUGUUGUCCUAUAUGCACCAGUUUGAGAUUAUUUUCAGUAUGAACUCGGCAUUCAUGAGAUGUUCAUUUUUUUGGCGAUUUUAAAAUGAGAAGAGGAGGAGGGACAAAACAUUUUAAGCCAAUUUGCUUUGCAUAUAUCCCGACAAGCCAAAACAGGUCGAAGAAAGAGCAAACGAGUGGCGCUCUGAAUCUGGUGGACAUAAUUCCGCGAAGAAACGACGUUCUGAUUGAAGUUUACGGCACGUGAAAGAAGGGAUAAGGAGGACGUCGAACUUUUGGACUGCUGCAGGGACGUGCUAGAUGUCGGGUCACCUGAGGAGCUUGUAAAUGAGAAACAAGGGCUCUCAGUUACUCAGUUAUCUAGUGAGCCAUGAUAAUGACAAUGCAACGAGGCAGCAGCACGUCCCGACAGGGUGAUACUAUACAGCCCUGUCUGCGUCCUUCUGUACACACCACGCAAGCGGCCCGGGAGGCGGCCCAUUUCUAUGACGCAGCCUAUAUGGAGCAAUCACGGUGCAUUUUGAGAGCCCCUUCCACCCGUGUUUUCCCAAACAAAAACCGCAAUGACAUCAGACGACUGCGCUGUUGCCCCAACGGCUUCACCACCAGAGUGGCCACACAUGUGCACUUGAACGGAACUGCGUCGCUGAUUGUGGCUAUAACGGCCGAACGGCAAGCGGAGAACUAGCGCAAGCACCGAUCGGCGCACCUCAGCAGCGCAGCUAUGCCACGUCACGGUUGUGCUCGCGUCAUCCGACGCAAGCACUCACCAGUGUAUAAGACCGGCUCAAACCACGGGCCGCUUCAGUGGACUUGGUGGCACUGACCAGAGGCCGAUGCUUUCUCGUUGUGCAGGUUGUCUGCACCCCUUUGCUCGAAGCAAGCGCCCUCUUGCAUCAUUUCACCACAGGAAAACUUCCAACGAGAGAUUCCGAGAGCGACGAGCGAAACUGUUUUGCGAACAGUAUGCUUCGUAAAACUUGACGCAACAUUUGUUAGUAAAACGAUCCCAAAUAUCUAAAGUUCAUGAAAAAUUUGGGAGUUGGCAGGUAUGCAUUUUCGCUACUCCUGAAAUAAAACUCACAGGUGCAAUAC